CCUACGGGUGGCAGCAGUGAGGAAUAUUGGUCAAUGGCCGAGAGGCUGAACCAGCCAAGUCGCGUGAGGGAAGACGGCCCUACGGGUUGUAAACCUCUUUUGUCGGGGAGCAAAGCGAGUCACGUGUGACUCAUUGAGAGUACCCUAAGAAAAAGCAUCGGCUAACUCCGUGCCAGCAGCCGCGGUAAUACGGAGGAUGCGAGCGUUAUCCGGAUUUAUUGGGUUUAAGGGGUGCGCGGGGGGAGGGGAAAGUCAGCGGUAAAAUUGCGGGGCUCAACCCCGUACUGCCGUUGAAACUGCAUGCCUAGAGUGCAGUAGAGGUAUGCGGAAUGCGUGGUGUAGCGGUGAAAUGCAUAGAGAUCACGCAGAACACCGAUUGCGAAGGCAGCAUACCGG
rnacentral:rRNA from 1 species